CGAAGAAAUGGCAUUCUUUCGAUAUAUCGAAGAAAUGGCAUUCUUUCGAUAUAUCGAAGAAAUGGCAUUCUUUCGAUAUAUCGAAGAAAUGGCAUUCUUUUAAUAUAUUGAAGAAAUGGCAUUCUUUCGAUAUAUCGAAGAAAUGGCAUUCUUUCG
rnacentral:miRNA from 1 species